GCAUAUCAAUAAGCGGAGGAAAAGAAACCAACAGGGAUUGCCCUAGUAACGGCGAGUGAAGCGGCAACAGCUCAAAUUUGAAAUCUGGCUCUCUUUGGGGGUCCGAGUUGUAAUUUGCAGAGGAUGCUUUGGCAUUGGCGGCGGUCUAAGUUCCUUGGAACAGGACAUCGCAGAGGGUGAGAAUCCCGUACGUGGGCGCCUGCCUUUGCCGUGUAAAGCUCCUUCGACGAGUCGAGUUGUUUGGGAAUGCAGCUCUAAAUGGGAGGUAAAUUUCUUCUAAAGCUAAAUACCGGCCAGAGACCGAUAGCGCACAAGUAGAGUGAUCGAAAGAUGAAAAGUACUUUGGAAAGAGAGUCAAAAAGCACGUGAAAUUGUUGAAAGGGAAGCGCUUGCAGCCAGACUUGCCCGCAGUUGCUCACCUAGGCUUUGGCCUGGGGCACUCUUCUGCGGGCAGGCCAGCAUCAGUUUGGGCGGUCGGACAAAGGCCUCUGUCAAGUAUCUCCCUUCGGGGUGACCUUAUAGGGGAGGCGUAAUGCGACCAGCCCGGACUGAGGUCCGCGCAUCUGCUAGGAUGCUGGCGUAAUGGCUGUAAGCGGCCCGUCUUGAAACACGGACC
rnacentral:rRNA from 1 species